GUUGCAUAUGACGAAUUCUCUUCCCACUAUGAAGGCCGUUGCUUUUUACACAAUGUCAGAGAAGAAUCCGAAAAGCAUGGGCUGGAAUAUUUAAGUGACAAACUUAUUUCUAAACUGCAGGAGGAAAAAUCCAUUCCUGUUCAAGAAAUGCCUAAUAGUAAAAGAAGAUUUUUUGUGGUGCUUGAUGAUGUGGGUACUCGAGAACAAUUAAAGCAUCUGGUUACGAAGGGAAUUUGUGGGGGACCUGGUAGUAGAGUCAUUGUAACAAGCAAAAAGAAGCAAGAGCUAGCUGCUACAGGGAGACUACUUCAUGACAUGUAUGAGGUCAAGGAAUUGCACUUUGAAGAAUCCCUCAAGCUUUUCAGCUUAAAUGCCUUCAAAAAGAGGCAUCCUGAUAGGGAAUAUGAAGAACUUUCAAAAAGACUAGUUGCUUAUGCCAAGGGCCUUCCUCUAGCUUUGAAAGUUCUGGGUUUGUGUCUUUGUUCUAGAGACAUAGAAGCAUGGGACAAUACAUUGAGAAAACUUGAGAAGCAUGCCCCUCCUCGAAUUCGAGAUGUGUUGAAAAUGAGUUAUGAUGGAUUAGAGGGUGUACAAAGGCAGAUAUUUCUUGGCAUCACUUUCUUUUAGACGAAAACGUAAAGAUCAAAUCAUGAGCCUUAAUGAUGCCAAUGGCAUUUUUGGUACUAGUGGAAUAAAAGAACUUCUAAAUAAAGCUCUUAUAUUCGUUUCAAAGGACAAUAUAAUACGAAUGCCUCAUUUGAUUGAAGAAAUGGGUUGGGAAAUUGUUUGCCAAGAAUGGGAAAAAAACUGAACAAUGUCAGUUCUGGAUGGACCUUCUGGUACGGUAUGAUCUGGUGCGUUCUGUACGCCCAGCAAUGUUGUUUGGAACGAAAUACUAGGACCGCUGAAAUCUUUGAAAGCUGAUCAUACCAUUCAAGCUCUCAGAUGUAGAUGGUCUCUAUCCAGUGAGACAAAGAAAUUGCCAUCUUCCCC